rnacentral:tRNA from 1 species
GCGUUUGUAGUCCAACGGUUAGGAUAAUUGUCUUUCAAGUAAUUGACAUGGGUUCAACUUUCAGCAAACGUA